GACGAACGCUGGCGGCGUGCUUAACACAUGCAAGUCGAACGAUGAACCAGGGCUUGCCCUGGGGAUUAGUGGCGAACGGGUGAGUAACACGUGGGCAGCCUGCCCCAGACACCGGGAUAACCUCUCGAAAGAGUGGCUAAUACCGGAUACGACCACUUUGGGCAUCCAACGGUGGUGGAAAGUAUUCUGGUCUGGGAUGGGCCCGCGGCCUAUCAGCUUGUUGGUGGGGUAAUGGCCUACCAAGGCGACGACGGGUAGCCGGCCUGAGAGGGCGACCGGCCACACUGGGACUGAGACACGGCCCAGACUCCUACGGGAGGCAGCAGUGGGGAAUAUUGCGCAAUGGGCGAAAGCCUGACGCAGCGACGCCGCGUGAGGGACGAAGGUCUUCGGAUUGUAAACCUCUUUCAGCAGGGACGAAGCGAAAGUGACUGUACCUGCAGAAGAAGCACCGGCUAACUACGUGCCAGCAGCCGCGGUAA
rnacentral:rRNA from 1 species